rnacentral:rRNA from 1 species
CCACAGCGAGAAACCUUGCAAUGUCGAAGCACGACAAGGUAAUCCGAGUGUCUCCUGCUAAAGGAGUCUUUUGUCAGUUGUAGAAUCACUGGUGAAUAAGGGGUGGGCAAGUUCUGGUGUCAGCCGCCGCGGUAAAACCAGCACCUCGAGUGGUCAGGAGGUUUAUUGGGCCUAAAGCAUCCGUAGCCGGUUGCAUAAGUUUUCGGUUAAAUCUAUGCGCUUAACGUAUAGGCCGCCGAAAAUACUGUGCAGCUAGGGAGUGGGAGAGGUACACGGUACUCGAUAGGAAGGGGUAAAAUCCUUUGAUCUAUUGAAGACCACCUGUGGCGAAGGCGGUGCACCAGAACACGUUCGACGGUGAGGGAUGAAAGCUGGGGGAGCAAACCGGAUUAGAUACCCGGGUAGUCCCAGCUGUAAACGAUGCAGACUCGGUGAUGCAUUGGCUUGUGGCCAAUGCAGUGCCGCAGGGAAGCCGUUAAGUCUGCCGCCUGGGAAGUACGUACGCAAGUAUGAACUUAAGGAAUUGGCGGGGGAGCACCACAAGGGAUGAGCCUGCGGUUCAAUUGGAGUCAACGCCAG